CUCUCGGAGGGUCUGCAGCCACAGUUGACACAGCUGCUCGUCGGCGCUCCAGAAGGUCACCCGUGCCCACUUCCAGCGGUGGUGUCGAGCUCGCUUCACACAGUGGACUGCACAGAAAACCAACACUGGAGGAAGAAUUUUAGCAACACAUGAAGGCGUGGAGAGCACUUUACACUCACGUUUACCCAGCCCAAAGAGUAAUUAAUUGCGAUCAGAGUUUAAGAAGAUGAGCCAGUCACUGGCUUUGAUAAGUACCCCGUCUUCAUGGAGGUAACUGGGGUGGGGCGUGGAGGGAAGGAGGAGGAGGGUUUGUGGGGUUGGCAAACACUGAGGCUCCCUCACCUGUGAAUGCAAACGGAUUUUCCAUUCUAUGCCAUCGGCCAUUGGAGGACUGUUUCUGGUGGACUUCUUUUUCCUCAACGGCGAUGAUCUCUGACACUGGUACCGAGUAGGCAUCUGCAAGGACACCACACUUAGAUCCAAGGAUCCAUCGGAGCUACACAGACAGAGGGCCGCAACGCCGAAGACUGCAGAUACUCAUUCCUACUCUCGUCAGAUACCCCAAACAGAAAGGAAGACUAGGGUUGACAAGAUGGCUCCUCGGGUAAAAGGGCCUGCCACCAAGCUUGAUGGCCUGCGUGGAAUCCUGGGAUCUGCAGGGUGGAAGGAGAAAACCAGCUUCUACCGGUUGUUCUCUAACUUCCCAAAGCACAUCAAGGCGUGCAGCCUCUCCCAAUAAAUGAACUGUGGUGUUUUCUUU